AACGAACGCUGGCGGCAUGCCUAACACAUGCAAGUCGAACGAGACCUUCGGGUCUAGUGGCGCACGGGUGCGUAACGCGGGGGAACCUGCCCUUAGGUUCGGAAUGACGCGCCGAAAGACGUGCUAAUACGGGAUCAUAUAUUCCGUCCAAAGAUUUAUCGCCUUUGGAGGGGCCCGCGUUGGAUUACCUAGAUGUUAGGGUAAAAGGCUACCAAUGCGACGUGCCAUAACUGGUCUGAGAGGAUGAGCAGCCACACUGGGACUGAGCCACGGCCCAGACUCCUACGGGAUGCGGCAGUGGCGGAUAUUGGAAUAUGGGCGAAAGGAUGAUCCAGCACUGACGCGUGAGUGAUGAAGGCCUUAGGGUUGUAAAGCUCUUUUAUCCGUGAUGAUAAUGACAGUACCGGGAGAAUAAGCUCCGGCUAACUCCGUG
rnacentral:rRNA from 1 species